ncrna:unclassified sequences RAGATH-16 RNA
CCUUUGCUAUCAAAGGCGUCGCCGGUGCGUGAGAGUUAGGCUCACGGUGCGAGAUAGUGAAAAUCCCCGGAG